CCACUCUCAUUAUGUUUCAAGACACAGGAAAUGCAACUUAGUAUAUGAAUUCAUAAGAAGGAAGGAGCCUUUUAAAGUUCAAGGGUUCAAGAAGCCUGUUGACACCAGUACAUGCUGGUAUAUAAAAAUAAAUUACAGAUUUUAAUACUUACAUGUGCUGGCUUCCAACCCUCCAAAAGCCUGCACUGAGGUUCACAAAUGGGAAGUGAAGAACUGCCAGGCACUUGGAUCCUUAUUGUGAAGACUGACUGAAGAGAAGCAUGCAAAACACAAGAAGCAUGCAACUACACAAAUGAUAAACAAAAUAAAAAUAUGUUGAGAAAGAUGCAUGUGUUCACUGCA